rnacentral:rRNA from 1 species
AGCAUCUAAGCACGAAGCACGCUCCAAGAUUAGAAUUCUUCGGCCUUGAGCCGACACAACUCCUGGGAGAUUACCAGGUUGAUAGGCUGCAGGUGUAAGUACAGUAAUGUAUUCAGCCGAGCAGUACUAAUUGUUGUGCGCCUUU